rnacentral:rRNA from 1 species
AUUGAACGCUGGCGGCAGGCUUAACACAUGCAAGUCGAGCGGAGAUGAGGUGCUUGCACCUUAUCUUAGCGGCGGACGGGUGAGUAAUGCUUAGGAAUCUGCCUAUUAGUGGGGGACAACAUUCCGAAAGGAAUGCUAAUACCGCAUACGUCCUACGGGAGAAAGCAGGGGAUCUUCGGACCUUGCGCUAGUAGAUGAGCCUAAGUCGGAUUAGCUAGUUGGUGGGGUAAAGGCCUACCAAGGCGACGAUCUGUAGCGGGUCUGAGAGGAUGAUCCGCCACACUGGGACUAAGACACGGCCCAGACUCCUACGGGAGGCAGCAGUGGGGAAUAUUGGACAAUGGGGGGAACCCUGAUCCAGCCAUGCCGCGUGUGUGAAGAAGGCCUUAUGGUUGUAAAGCACUUUAAGCGAGGAGGAGGCUACUGAGACUAAUACUCUUGGAUAGUGGACGUUACUCGCAGAAUAAGCACCGGCUAACUCUGUGCCAGCAGCCGCGGUAACAC